AAAGCUGCCGCGAGGCCGCCGCCCGCAGCCCCAGACGCUCCGGCGCCGGGACAGAGCACCCUCUGCACACCCUCUCGGCUGUGCCCACACCCGUUUAACAAGAUGUCUGUAAAGGAAGGCGCCCAGCGCAAGUGGGCAGCACUGAAAGAGAAGCUGGGGCCUCAGGACUCAGACCCCACGGAGGCCAACCUGGAGAGUGCUGAGCCCGAGUUGUGCAUCCGGCUGCUGCAGAUGCCCUCCGUGGUCAACUACUCGGGCCUGCGCAAGCGCCUGGAGAGCAGUGAUGGCAGCUGGAUGGUG
rnacentral:lncRNA from 1 species